rnacentral:rRNA from 1 species
CAAUAGCGUAUAUUAAAGUUGUUGCAGUUAAAAAGCUUGUAGUUGGAUUUGUGGCGUACGGUGUGUUCCGGGCACUUGUUGUCUGAGUAACCUGCUGUUGCCAUCCUUGGGUGGAACCUGUGUGGCAUUAGGUUGUCGUGCAGGGGAUGCCCAUCAUUUACUGUGAAAAAAUUAGAGUGUUCAAAGCAGGCUUAUGCCGUUGAAUAUAUUAGCAUGGAAUAAUGAGAUAGGACUUUUUUGCUAUUUUGUUGGUUUGCGCAAAGAGGUAAUGAUUAAUAGGGACAGUUGGGGGUAUUCGUAUUCCAUUGUCAGAGGUGAAAUUCUUGGAUUUUUGGAAGACGAACUACUGCGAAAGCAUUUACCAAGGAUGUUUUCAUUAA